UGUGUAAUGUAUAGUCCUAGUCCAAAUAUAUAUCGAAAAUUCAGAAAGAUUGAAGCAAUCACUUUUACAAAUUUAGCCAAUACACAUCCAUACCCCUAUUGACAAGUCAAGAGAUGUUCCGAAAACUGUAAAUAUUACCUUUUUGCACUUGGCCUAAUCACUCAUUCCAUAUCAAAAUCAGUUUAAAUACAACAUCCAAAAAUUUAUUUCACCUCUCUUCUUUCAUUUCCACCAAAAAAA
rnacentral:lncRNA from 1 species